GAUGAAGAACGCAGUGAAAUGCGAUAAGUAAUGUGAAUUGCAGAAUUCAGUGAAUCAUCGAAUCUUUGAACGCACAUUGCGCCCACUAGUAUUCUGGUGGGCAUGCCUGAUCGAGCGUCAUUUCAACCCUCAAGCCUUAGUUGCUUGGUGUUGGGAGCUUAUCUUGCCGAAAGGCGGACAACUCCUUAAAACUAUUGGCGGAGUCGCGGUGACCCCAAGCGUAGUAAAUCUUUUUUUUCUCGCUUUAGGUGUUAACGCUGGCUUUCUAGCCGUUAAACCCUCUAAAUUUUUAGUGGUUGACCUCGGAUCAGGUAGGACUACCCGCUGAACUUAAGCAUAUCAAUAAGCGGAGGA
rnacentral:misc_RNA from 1 species